AUACUCUAGUUUCUCUUCAAAAUAAAAAAAUAUUUUGCAUUUUACUAAAAAUUUCUAUGGAAAGGAACAGUUAUGAGUUAGUAACCAAAUUUUUUGAAGCCUUGCUCAGGCCAGUCU
rnacentral:snRNA from 1 species